rnacentral:rRNA from 1 species
GGGUGAGUAACACGUAUCCAACCUGCCCUUUACUCGGGGAUAGCCUUUCGAAAGAAAGAUUAAUACCCGAUGGUAUAACAUGACCUCCUGGUUUUGUUAUUAAAGAAUUUCGGUAGAGGAUGGGGAUGCGUUCCAUUAGGCAGUUGGCGGGGUAACGGCCCACCAAACCUUCGAUGGAUAGGGGUUCUGAGAGGAAGGUCCCCCACAUUGGAACUGAGACACGGUCCAAACUCCUACGGGAGGCAGCAGUGAGGAAUAUUGGUCAAUGGGCGAGAGCCUGAACCAGCCAAGUAGCGUGAAGGAUGACCGCCCUAUGGGUUGUAAACUUCUUUUAUAUGGGAAUAAAGUUUGCCACGUGUGGCAUUUUGUAUGUACCAUAUGAAUAAGGAUCGGCUAACUCCGUGCCAGCAGCCGCGGUAAUACGGAGGAUCCGAGCGUUAUCCGGAUUUAUUGGGUUUAAAGGGAGCGUAGGUGGACAUGUAAGUCAGUUGUGAAAGUUUGCGGCUCAACCGUAAAAUUGCAGUUGAUACUGCGUGUCUUGAGUACAGUAGAGGUGGGCGGAAUUCGUGGUGUAGCGGUGAAAUGCUUAGAUAUCACGAAGACUCCGAUUGCGAAGGCAGCUCACUGGACU